GACGAACGCCGGCGGCGUGCUUAACACAUGCAAGUCGAACGGUAAGGCCCUUCGGGGUGCACGAGUGGCGAACGGGUGAGUAACACGUGGGUGAUCUGCCCUGCACUUCGGGAUAAGCCUGGGAAACUGGGUCGAAUACCGGAUAGGACCACUGCCUGCAUGGGGGGUGGUGGAAAGCUUUUGCGGUGUGGGAUGGGCCCGCGGCCUAUCAGCUUGUUGGUGGGGUGAUGGCCUACCAAGGCGACGACGGGUAGCCGGCCUGAGAGGGUGACCGGCCACACUGGGACUGAGAUACGGCCCAGACUCCUACGGGAGGCAGCAGUGGGGAAUAUUGCACAAUGGGCGCAAGCCUGAUGCAGCGACGCCGCGUGAGGGGUGACGGCCUUCGGGUUGUAAACCUCUUUCAGCACCGACGAAGCGCAAGUGACGGUAGGUGCAGAAGAAGGACCGGCCAACUACGUGCCAGCCGCCGCAGUAA
rnacentral:rRNA from 1 species